AUUGAACGCUGGCGGCAUGCCUUACACAUGCAAGUCGAACGGCAGCAUGGAGAGCUUGCUCUCUGAUGGCGAGUGGCGAACGGGUGAGUAAUGCAUCGGAACGUACCGUGUAAUGGGGGAUAACGUAGCGAAAGUUACGCUAAUACCGCAUACGACCUGAGGGUGAAAGCAGGGGAUCGCAAGACCUUGCGUUAUACGAGCGGCCGAUGUCAGAUUAGCUAGUUGGUGAGGUAAAGGCUCACCAAGGCGACGAUCUGUAGCGGGUCUGAGAGGAUGAGCCGCAACACUGGGACUGAGACACGGCCCAGACUCCUACGGGAGGCAGCAGUGGGGAAUUUUGGACAAUGGGGGCAACCCUGAUCCAGCCAUGCCGCGUGAGUGAAGAAGGCCUUCGGGUUGUAAAGCUCUUUCGGCCGGGAAGAAAUCGCACAGGCUAAUACUCUGUGUGGAUGACGGUACCGGCAUAAGAAGCACCGGCUAACUACGUGCCAGCAGCCGCAGUAA
rnacentral:rRNA from 1 species